rnacentral:rRNA from 1 species
GUGGAGCGCUAUCGAGUGAGAAUGCAGGCAUGAGUAACGAGAGAGGGGUGAGAAACCCCUCCGCCGAAAGCCCAAGGGUUCCUGGGGAAGGCUAAUCCCCCCAGGGUGAGUCGGGAGCUAAGGCGAGGCCGAAAGGCGUAGCCGAUGCACAACCGGUUGAUAUUCCGGUACCACCGUGUUCGCGCCAGGUCCAAGAGUGGCAACGUUGGGGCUGUUUACCUUCGGGUGAGCGAGCCGACCGAGUCGCUGGCGGGUAGCUGAAGGGGGACGCAGGAGGGUAGGUGAUCCGGGGCGAUGGUAGUCCCCGGGUAAGCGUGUAGGCGGAUUCCGAUGAGAGUUGUAGUCGUAACGCUGAGACGUGAUGCCGAGACACAAGUCGAAGUCACUGAUCCCAUGCUGCCAAGAAAAUCCCAGCAGUGAGUUGACACGGUGCCCGUACCCCAAACCGACACAGGUGGGCGGGUAGAGAAUACCAAGGCGAACGGGAGAACUAUGGUUAAGGAACUCGGCAAAUUGCCUCCGUAACUUCGGAAGAAGGAGGACCCUUUUCGGUGACGGCCCUUGCGGCCAGAGCUGAGGAGGGUGGCACAGACCAGGGGGUAGCGACUGUUUACCAAAAACACAGCAGCGUGCGAAGCCGAAAGGCGCUGUAUACGCUGUGACGCCUGCCCAAUGCUUGAAGGUCACGGGGAACGGUUAGCUCUUACGAGCGAAGCUGUGAACCUAAGCCCAAGUGAAUGGCGGCCGUAACUAUAACGGUCCUAAGGUAGCGAAAUUCCUUGUCGGGUAAGUUCCGACCUGCACGAAUGGCGUAACGACUUCCCCACUGUCUCAACCAUAGACCCGGUGAAAUUGAAGUACGAGUAAAGAUGCUCGUUAGCUGCGGAAGGACGGAAAGACCCCGUGGACCUUUACUAUAACUUGGUGUUGAGUUUUAAAUUGCGUUGUGUAGGAUAGGUGGGAGACUUGGAAGCAUUGGCGCUAGCCAGUGUGGAGUCAAUGUUGAAAUACCACCCUGCGUACUUUGGAGCUCUAACCUCGGUCCGUAAUCCGGAUCAGGGACAGCGCCAGGCGGGUAGUUUGACUGGGGCGGUCGCCUCCUAAAGAGUAACGGAGGCGCCCAAAGGUUCCCUCAGGCUGGUUGGCAAUCAGCCGUCGAGUGCAAUGGCACAAGGGAGCUUAACUGCGAGACCUACAAGUCAAGCAGAUACGAAAGUAGGGCAUAGUGACCCGGCCAUCACGUGUGGAAGUGUGGUCGCUCAACGGAUAAAAGGUACCCCGGGGAUAACAGGCUAAUCUUUCCCAAGAGUCCAUAUCGACGGAAAGGUUUGGCACCUCGAUGUCGGCUCAUCGCAUCCUGGGGCUGAAGCAGGUCCCAAGGGUUGGGCUGUUCGCCCAUUAAAGCGGUACGCGAGCUGGGUUCAGAACGUCGUGAGACAGUUCGGUCCCUAUCCUCCGCAGCCGAAGGAAUAUUGACAACUGCUGUCCUUAGUACGAGAGGACCGGGACGGACGUAGCUCUGGUGUGUCUGUUGUCUCGCCAGAGGCAUGGCAGAUUUGCUACCUACGGAAGGGAUAACCGCUGAAAGCAUCUAAGUGGGAAACCCGUGUGAAGAUGAGUAUUCCCAUGCGGUCAACGCAGUAAGGCCCGUGACGAGACCAUCACGUUGAUAGGCCGGAGGUGUAAGCGUGGUAACACGUUCAGCCGACCGGUACUAAUCGGCCGAGGGCUUGGAUUU